UCCCUGGUGGCUCAGACGGUAAAGCGUCUGCCUACAAUGCAGGAGACCCAGGUUUGAUCCCUGGGUUGGGAA
rnacentral:tRNA from 1 species